CCUACGGGGGGCAGCAGUGGGGAAUAUUGGAUAAUGGGCGAAAGCCUGAUCCAGCCAUGCCGCGUGUGUGAAGAAGGCCUUCGGGUUGUAAAGCACUUUCAGUGGGGAAGAAAGCCUUGGGGCUAAUACCCUCGAGGAAGGACAUCACCCACAGAAGAAGCACCGGCUAACUCCGUGCCAGCAGCCGCGGUAAUACGGAGGGUGCGAGCGUUAAUCGGAAUUACUGGGCGUAAAGCGCGCGUAGGCGGUCUGAUAAGCCGGUUGUGAAAGCCCCGGGCUCAACCUGGGAACGGCAUCCGGAACUGUCAGGCUAGAGUGCAGGAGAGGAAGGUAGAAUUCCCGGUGUAGCGGUGAAAUGCGUAGAGAUCGGGAGGAAUACCAGUGGCGAAGGCGGCCUUCUGGACUGACACUGACGCUGAGGUGCGAAAGCGUGGGUAGCAAACAGGAUUAGAUACCCGAGUAGUC
rnacentral:rRNA from 1 species